rnacentral:rRNA from 1 species
AUUGAACGCUGGCGGCAUGCUUUACACAUGCAAGUCGAACGGUAACAGGUUAAGCUGACGAGUGGCGAACGGGUGAGUAAUGCAUCGGAACGUGCCCGAUCGUGGGGGAUAACGCAGCGAAAGCUGCGCUAAUACCGCAUGCGAUCUGAGGAUGAAAGCGGGGGACCGUAAGGCCUCGCGCGAUCGGAGCGGCCGAUGUCAGAUUAGGUAGUUGGUGGGGUAAAGGCCCACCAAGCCGACGAACUGUAGCUGGUCUGAGAGGACGACCAGCCAAACUGGGACGGAGACACGGCCCAGAAUCCUACGGGAGGCAGCAGUGGGGAAUUUUGGACAAUGGGCGCAAGCCUGAUUCCGCCAUACCGCGUGGGUGAAGAAGGCCUUCGGGUUGUAAAGCCCUUUUGUUGGGAAAGAAAAGCAUCCGGUUAAUACCCGGGUGUUCUGACGGUACCCAAAGAAUAAGCACCGGCUAACUUCGUGCCAGCCGCCGCAGUAAAAC